AUCACUAAGUGAGUUUGAUCCUGGCUCAGAUUGAACGCUGGCGGCAGGCCUAACACAUGCAAGUCGAACGGUAACAUUUCUAGCUUGCUAGAAGAUGACGAGUGGCGGACGGGUGAGUAAUGCUUGGGAACUUGCCUUUGCGAGGGGGAUAACAGUUGGAAACGACUGCUAAUACCGCAUAAUGUCUUCGGACCAAACGGGGCUUAGACUCCGGCGCAAAGAGAGGCCCAAGUGAGAUUAGCUAGUUGGUAAGGUAACGGCUUACCAAGGCGACGAUCUCUAGCUGUUCUGAGAGGAAGAUCAGCCACACUGGGACUGAGACACGGCCCAGACUCCUACGGGAGGCAGCAGUGGGGAAUAUUGCACAAUGGGGGAAACCCUGAUGCAGCCAUGCCGCGUGUGUGAAGAAGGCCUUCGGGUUGUAAAGCACUUUCAGUUGUGAGGAAAAGUUAGUAGUUAAUACCUGCUAGCCGUGACGUUAACAACAGAAGAAGCACCGGCUAAAUCCGUGCCUGCAGCCGCGGUAAUACGGAAGGUGCAAGCGUUAAUCGGA
rnacentral:rRNA from 1 species